rnacentral:rRNA from 1 species
UACGUAGGGGGCGAGCGUUGUCCGGAUUUACUGGGCGUAAAGGGUGAGUAGGCGGUUGUAUAUGUCAGGUGUAAAAGGCUAUGGCUUAACCAUGGUUAGCACUUGAAACUGUGCAACUUGAGUGCAGGAGAGGUAAGUGGAAUUCCUAGUGUAGCGGUGAAAUGCGUAGAUAUUAGGAGGAACACCAGUGGCGAAGGCGACUUACUGGACUGUAACUGACGCUGAGUCACGAAAGCGUGGGUAGCAAACAGGAUUAGAUACCCCUGUAGUCCCU